rnacentral:rRNA from 1 species
GUGUCAGCCGCCGCGGUAAUACGUAGGGAGCGAGCGUUGUCCGGAAUCAUUGGGCGUAAAGAGCAUGUAGGUGGAUCAAUUAGUCUGCUGUGAAAGUCAAAGGCUCAACCUUUGAAAGCCGGUGGAUACUGUUGGUCUAGAGUACGGAAGAGGCGAGUGGAAUUCCUGGUGUAGCGGUGGAAUGCGCAGAUAUCAGGAGGAACACCAAUAGCGAAGGCAGCUCGCUGGGACGUUACUGACACUGAGAUGCGAAAGCGUGGGGAGCAAACAGGAUUAGAAACCCCCGUAGUCC